rnacentral:rRNA from 1 species
GGGUUGUGAGGUUAAGCGACUAAGCGUACACGGUGGAUGCCCUGGCAGUCAGAGGCGAUGAAGGACGUGCUAAUCUGCGAUAAGCGUCGGUAAGGUGAUAUGAACCGUUAUAACCGGCGAUUUCCGAAUGGGGAAACCCAGUGUGAUUCGUCACACUAUCAUUAACUGAAUCCAUAGGUUAAUGAGGCGAACCGGGGGAACUGAAACAUCUAAGUACCCCGAGGAAAAGAAAUCAACCGAGAUUCCCCCAGUAGCGGCGAGCGAACGGGGAGCAGCCCAGAGCCUGAAUCAGUGUGUGUGUUAGUGGAAGCGUCUGGAAAGGCGCGCGAUACAGGGUGACAGCCCCGUACACAAAAAUGCACAUACUGUGAGCUCGAUGAGUAGGGCGGGACACGUGGUAUCCUGUCUGAAUAUGGGGGGACCAUCCUCCAAGGCUAAAUACUCCUGACUGACCGAUAGUGAACCAGUACCGUGAGGGAAAGGCGAAAAGAACCCCGGCGAGGGGAGUGAAAAAGAACCUGAAACCGUGUACGUACAAGCAGUGGGAGCACGCUUAGGCGUGUGACUGCGUACCUUUUGUAUAAUGGGUCAGCGACUUAUAUUCUGUAGCAAGGUUAACCGAAUAGGGGAGCCGAAGGGAAACCGAGUCUUAACUGGGCGUUAAGUUGCAGGGUAUAGACCCGAAACCCGGUGAUCUAGCCAUGGGCAGGUUGAAGGUUGGGUAACACUAACUGGAGGACCGAACCGACUAAUGUUGAAAAAUUAGCGGAUGACUUGUGGCUGGGGGUGAAAGGCCAAUCAAACCGGGAGAUAGCUGGUUCUCCCCGAAAGCUAUUUAGGUAGCGCCUCGUGAAUUCAUCUCCGGGGGUAGAGCACUGUUUCGGCAAGGGGGUCAUCCCGACUUACCAACCCGAUGCAAACUACGAAUACCGGAGAAUGUUAUCACGGGAGACACACGGCGGGUGCUAACGUCCGUCGUGAAGAGGGAAACAACCCAGACCGCCAGCUAAGGUCCCAAAGUCAUGGUUAAGUGGGAAACGAUGUGGGAAGGCCCAGACAGCCAGGAUGUUGGCUUAGAAGCAGCCAUCAUUUAAAGAAAGCGUAAUAGCUCACUGGUCGAGUCGGCCUGCGCGGAAGAUGUAACGGGGCUAAACCAUGCACCGAAGCUGCGGCAGCGACGCUGAUGCGUUGUUGGGUAGGGGAGCGUUCUGUAAGCCUGCGAAGGUGUGCUGUGAGGCAUGCUGGAGGUAUCAGAAGUGCGAAUGCUGACAUAAGUAACGAUAAAGCGGGUGAAAAGCCCGCUCGCCGGAAGACCAAGGGUUCCUGUCCAACGUUAAUCGGGGCAGGGUGAGUCGACCCCUAAGGCGAGGCCGAAAGGCGUAGUCGAUGGGAAACAGGUUAAUAUUCCUGUACUUGGUGUUACUGCGAAGGGGGGACGGAGAAGGCUAUGUUGGCCGGGCGACGGUUGUCCCGGUUUAAGCGUGUAGGCUGGUUUUCCAGGCAAAUCCGGAAAAUCAAGGCUGAGGCGUGAUGACGAGGCACUACGGUGCUGAAGCAACAAAUGCCCUGCUUCCAGGAAAAGCCUCUAAGCAUCAGGUAACAUCAAAUCGUACCCCAAACCGACACAGGUGGUCAGGUAGAGAAUACCAAGGCGCUUGAGAGAACUCGGGUGAAGGAACUAGGCAAAAUGGUGCCGUAACUUCGGGAGAAGGCACGCUGAUAUGUAGGUGAAGUCCCUCGCGGAUGGAGCUGAAAUCAGUCGAAGAUACCAGCUGGCUGCAACUGUUUAUUAAAAACACAGCACUGUGCAAACACGAAAGUGGACGUAUACGGUGUGACGCCUGCCCGGUGCCGGAAGGUUAAUUGAUGGGGUUAGCGCAAGCGAAGCUCUUGAUCGAAGCCCCGGUAAACGGCGGCCGUAACUAUAACGGUCCUAAGGUAGCGAAAUUCCUUGUCGGGUAAGUUCCGACCUGCACGAAUGGCGUAAUGAUGGCCAGGCUGUCUCCACCCGAGACUCAGUGAAAUUGAACUCGCUGUGAAGAUGCAGUGUACCCGCGGCAAGACGGAAAGACCCCGUGAACCUUUACUAUAGCUUGACACUGAACAUUGAGCCUUGAUGUGUAGGAUAGGUGGGAGGCUUUGAAGUGUGGACGCCAGUCUGCAUGGAGCCGACCUUGAAAUACCACCCUUUAAUGUUUGAUGUUCUAACGUGGACCCGUAAUCCGGGUUGCGGACAGUGUCUGGUGGGUAGUUUGACUGGGGCGGUCUCCUCCUAAAGAGUAACGGAGGAGCACGAAGGUUGGCUAAUCCUGGUCGGACAUCAGGAGGUUAGUGCAAUGGCAUAAGCCAGCUUGACUGCGAGCGUGACGGCGCGAGCAGGUGCGAAAGCAGGUCAUAGUGAUCCGGUGGUUCUGAAUGGAAGGGCCAUCGCUCAACGGAUAAAAGGUACUCCGGGGAUAACAGGCUGAUACCGCCCAAGAGUUCAUAUCGACGGCGGUGUUUGGCACCUCGAUGUCGGCUCAUCACAUCCUGGGGCUGAAGUAGGUCCCAAGGGUAUGGCUGUUCGCCAUUUAAAGUGGUACGCGAGCUGGGUUUAGAACGUCGUGAGACAGUUCGGUCCCUAUCUGCCGUGGGCGCUGGAGAACUGAGGGGGGCUGCUCCUAGUACGAGAGGACCGGAGUGGACGCAUCACUGGUGUUCGGGUUGUCAUGCCAAUGGCACUGCCCGGUAGCUAAAUGCGGAAGAGAUAAGUGCUGAAAGCAUCUAAGCACGAAACUUGCCCCGAGAUGAGUUCUCCCUGACUCCUUGAGAGUCCUGAAGGAACGUUGAAGACGACGACGUUGAUAGGCCGGGUGUGUAAGCGCAGCGAUGCGUUGAGCUAACCGGUACUAAUGAACCGUGAGGCUUAACCUUACAACGCCGAAG